UACGUAGGGGGCGAGCGUUGUCCGGAUUUAUUGGGCGUAAAGAGCUCGUAGGCGGUUGGGUAAGUCGGGUGUGAAAACUCAGGGCUCAACUCUGAGACGCCACUCGAUACUGCCCUGACUCGAGUCCGGUAGGGGAGCGUGGAAUUCCCGGUGUAGCGGUGGAAUGCGCAGAUAUCGGGAGGAACACCAGUGGCGAAGGCGACUACCUGGACAAUUGCUGACACUCAGGCACGAAAGCAUGGGGAGCAAAAGGG
rnacentral:rRNA from 1 species